rnacentral:piRNA from 1 species
UGAAAGCCAGCUGAAGAUCUAUUUA